rnacentral:rRNA from 1 species
CGGGGGAGCAAGCGUUGUUCGGAUUACUGGGCGUAAAGGGCGCGUAGGCGGCCACCGCAAGUCGACUGUGAAAUCUCCGGGCUUAACCCGGAAAGGUCAGCCGAUACUGCGGGGCUAGAGUGCAGAAGGGGCAACUGGAAUUCUCGGUGUAGCGGUGAAAUGCGUAGAUAUCGAGAGGAACACCUGCGGCGAAGGCGGGUUGCUGGGCUGACACUGACGCUGAGGCGCGAAAGCUAGGGGAGCGAACGGGAUUAGAUACCCCGGUAGUCCUAGCCUUAAACGAUGAAUGCUUGGUGUCUGGGGUUUUAUAGUCCCCGGGUGCCGUCGCUAACGCUUUAAGCAUUCCGCCCGGGGAGUACGGUCGCAAGACUG